AAUUCAAGGGAGCUAUUAAUCCAACAAAUGUCACAAUACAAAAAAUUAACAGUACUCAAUACGUAAUCAAAGAAUUGAACCAGCAAGGUUAUAUUUAUACAUUAUACACAUAAUUUUGUUGUUGUUUAAAAAGUCAUAUUUCGUGCCAGAUAUACAUCUACAUACAUACAUGUAUAAUAAGGCAGCAACUGAAAAUAAUAAGCAGCAUAUAUUCCUCAGAUAUCUUCCAACCUCCCACAUCAUUACGAAAUAAAUUCUUCGUUUUGGUUCUAUAAUCAAAUUGUGUUGCAAAAUCAAUAUUGCAUUAGAAAUAUCAAGCAGCUAAUUCCAACUGUCAAUUUCAUUCCAGAAACCAUUAAAUCGUGACUACAAUACUCAAUACACUCAAAUGGAAAGUGCUUGUUACGGCAAAAAUUAGAAGGCGCGAAGGAAUAUAACACACAAAUAACGAAAUUGUAAAAGAUACUUAGCAGUGCCUCUCAGGCGUCGUAGUUACGACUUGAUAGCGACUAAGUGGAUGACGUGUAUAUAUACAUAUAUAUAUUUAAAAAACAACUUUUAAUAAUUAUAUUCUAACAAUGGCACGUCCGAUAUACGAAACGCAUGUAAGUGACUACAUUUUAACUUACUAAUCUAUACAUAUCUUACGAAUGUAUGCAUAUACAUAUGCUAAACUAUCUAAGAAUUUAUGUACAUAAAAGAGCGAAAAUGCUUUCAUGCAUGUAUUUACAAAAUUUGUAAAAUGAAAAAAUAUAAAAUUACUAGAUGUAUUUGUAAAAAUAGUAAUGCAAUACAAAUUUGAGAACAUUAAAAAAAUCCUUCUUUAGAUUUUCUAAGUCUAAUACAAUACUGAUAAUAAAGUCUAAUCAGUACGUUGAAGAUGGUCUUUAAUAGUUUAAGUUCGGCUGAUAAUAUGAAAUAUUAAUUCCAUCGUCCCAGAUAAAGACCUGUUGUUCAUGUAUAAGAAUCAAUAUAUGUCCAGACUAUCUACAAAACCGAAAUAUGACUGUUAAACUGCUGAUAGGCGAAAAUAGUCGACUGGAAAAAGAACCGCCUUCCUGACUUUAGAAAAGUAGGUAUAGGACUCCAACUUUAGACUAAUAUUCAUGCGUAUAAGGGGCAUUAUUAACUCAAACAAAUACAUAUGUACGUUAUUGUUUUAAAUACAUAUUCAUAAUUUAAGAGAACAUUGUAUGAUACUCAUAUUUUCUCUCAAUUUUUAUUUUAAUUAUGUAUUAACUCUGCUGAAAAAAGCAAAACUCAUCAUUGAUGUGGGUCAAUAUUGAGCAAUUAUUUUUAUAUGUAGUACAUAUGUAUGUGUGCAUAUGCAUAACUGUAUGUAAGCAAUAUCUGUAUCUCUAUAUUAAUUAAUAGCUGUAGUUGUUCCGGUAACCUUAGUGGAGUGAGAGCCGGCAAAGCUAAAAGCUGCUGUAGACGAGCUGUAUGUUUAUAGCCCGCUCAUGCAAUCACGUUCAAAUAGUCAAAUGCAAGCAAUCAGACGAAAAAGCACAUUUCAAAUUAAACGCGGUUAUAUUUGAUAGAAGCGUAGUGAAUUGGUGUGUUAAAGUUGAUCGGUAUAUCAUUUAUGUUCGCGCGAUUAAAAUCACAAAAAUGGCUGACUUAGACUUAGUUCCAAUUGUAGUUGGUAUUGCAGCCGUGGUGGUUGGUGCUGCUAUCAUUAAUUACAUUCUUAAUAAGAAGUCGUCGAAACCACGACCUGAACCCAAUCGCACCGCUCGUCUGCGCACGCUAGUUGAUCCAAAUGACAAAUAUCAGUUGCCAUUAAUUGUGAAAGAAGUUCUUAGCCAUGAUACUCGACGUUUUCGAUUUGGUUUGCCAUCGAACCAACAUGUUCUCGGAUUGCCAGUUGGACAGCAUAUACAUUUGAUCGCCACUAUAGAUAACGAAUUAGUCAUUCGUCCUUAUACUCCAAUAUCCAGUGAUGAUGACGUUGGUUAUGUCGAUUUGGUCAUUAAAGUAUAUUUUAAGAAUGUUCAUCCAAAAUUCCCAGGAGGUGGUAAAAUGACACAAUAUUUAGAUCAAAUGAAUAUUGGCGAUAAAAUAUCCUUCCGUGGUCCUUCCGGACGAUUACAAUAUCAAGGUCAAGGCCGUUUUCAAGUUAAGAAGCUUCGUAAAGAUCCACCAAAGACCGUUAUAGCAAAGCGUGUAAACAUGAUAUCCGGUGGCACUGGAAUUACACCAAUGUUACAGCUAAUACGGGAUGUUCUAAAGCACAAUGAUAAAGACAAAACUCAACUUGCCUUAUUAUUUGCCAAUCAGAGUGAAGCCGAUAUUUUGUUGCGUAACGAAUUGGACGAUUUAGCCAAAAAAUAUCCAGAUCAAUUAAAGGUGUGGUAUACGGUUGAUAAAGCUACUGAAGGUAAAUAUAAAUACUUUUAUAUACAUAUUAGUUAUAAAUACAACGAUUUGAUUUUUUAUAAAAAGCAAACCUUGUACCUUAAACUAACAAUAGCUUGUGGCUUUGUUGCAUGAAAAACUUAUGAAAUGUAUAUUUAUGUAUAGUAUACUAAUAGAUUCACACAUUUUUAAGUCGCUUUUAUAAAUAUUAACUGAGGAAAACAUCUUUGUGUCAAAACUUCUCCCGGGUUCUCUACCCGCUGUUGCUUUACUCAUACGUGCGGCUUUGUUCGUGAAUACAUUAUUUAAGAAAAUCAGAAACAACGUAAAUAUAUAAUAUAAUGAAAAGGCAUUCGUUGUUAAAAUUUACUGCACACUUUUAACCAUAUUCGCUAUAUCAGAUGAAAGUAUUGAAAAUAUUUAGUGUUUAUUGUGUGCUUCCUUUGAGUUUUCGAUCAAUAUCUGAAGCAAUAUUUAAUUUUCUUUUUAAAUGCUGCUUUUGGAUAAUUUUUAUAUCAGUCUGGCCAUAUAGCGUUGGGUAUGUCAAUGAUGAAAUGAUGCGCUCUCAACUUUUUUCGCCGAGUUCAAACACGCUUUGCUUACUGUGUGGUCCGCCACCGAUGGUCAAUUAUACUUGUAUACCCGGCUUGGAGCGCAUCGGUCAUCAUGCUGAUAUGCGUUUUAGUUACUAAAUGGAUACACGUAUAACGUAAAAAAUAUAUAGUUAAACUUUAAUCAGGCUGGAUAUAUGAUGUAGGCUUUAUAAACGAUGGCAUGAUUAAACAACAUCUUUUCCCAGCUUCAGCAGAUACUCUGGUGUUAAUGUGCGGUCCACCACCGAUGAUCAAUUUCGCUUGUAAUCCAGCUUUAGAUAUAUUGGAAUUUCACCCAGAUACCAGAUUCGCAUAUUAAAAAUGCAUUAACAAAAAUAAUUUUAUUAUAGAGUCGUCCAUAUUUCUAAAUAUUAUAAGCACUUUCUUUAAAGUGCUUUAUAAUUAUAAAUGUGCAGAGGCAAUCGAAUGUUAAUUAGCUUGUUAUGAAUGCUGUUGGUUAAAUAUAUAGUCAAAUUGCAGACUCAUUCACGUAAUGGACUAUCAAAGCAUUAUAAAAACUUGUUGAAUUGUAAAGAAUAUCAUAGAUUAAAAAAAUAAUAAAUUUUAGUUUUUUCCAACAAA